rnacentral:rRNA from 1 species
CACGUAAGGGGCGAGCGUUGUUCGGAUUUAUUGGGCGUAAAGGGCGCGUAGGCGGUAAGAUAAGUCUGGUGUUAAAUGCCCCGGCUCAACCGGGGAGGUGCGCUGGAAACUGUAUUACUGGAGUGGUGGAGGGGGAGCUGGAAUUCCUGGUGUAGGGGUGAAAUCUGUAGAUAUCAGGAAGAACACCGGAGGCGAAGGCGAGCUCCUGGCCACCUACUGACGCUGAGGCGCGAAAGCGUGGGGAGCAAACAGG